rnacentral:rRNA from 1 species
GGAAGUAAAAGUCGUAACAAGGUUUCUGUAGGUGAACCUGCGAAAGGAUCAUUG